UACGUAGGGGGCUAGCGUUGUCCGGAAUCAUUGGGCGUAAAGCGCGUGUAGGCGGCCCGGUAAGUCCGCUGUGAAAGUCGGGGGCUCAACCCUCGAAUGCCGGUGGAUACUGUCGGGCUAGAGUGCGGAAGAGGCGAGUGGAAUUCCUGGUGUAGGCGGUGGAAUGCGCAGAUAUCAGGAGGAACACCGGUGGCGAAGGCGGGGUCUCUGG
rnacentral:rRNA from 1 species